UGUAGAAUUUUACUUAGUCUUUAUUUUGACACUUCUCAGGUUGAAUUUUAUAUCCCUCGUUACUAUCAUUAGAUCCUUACAUGUAUUAAAUUUUAUAUUUUUUUGUGAAAUAAAGUAAUUUUAACUAAUGAAGCGAGUUGAACAAAAUAAUAUGACAUGAAACAUGGUAAUAAAAAGGCAAGUUUGGUUUAGUAGACCAUACUUUAUUUAACAAAGUAAGUGGGAAACAAAACAAUACAUAGAUGCAUGUUUCUAGUUUUCAGGGAGGUUCCAAGUUUCUAUAUCCUCAUCCCUUAGGUUUAAUUAUUAUCGUCUUCGUCUCCGUCACCUUCGUCUCCGUCACCAUUGUCUCCGUCGUCGGGAUUUUCUUUAUCGUCUUCGAAGGGUGCCUCACUAUUACCAUUUUCUCCUUCACUAUUAUUGUCUCCUCUUCCCCAUCCCCAUGGUAACCAACCCAAUGCCAAAUCUCUCAAACCUCCCCAAUCUACAUACCUUCUCAUUAAAGUACUAUAUUCGGAUUGCUCAGCUGCCACAAUAGUCAUAAGAAGGGGAACACACAGAAAGAAUACUAAGAUAAAAAAUUUUGUUUUCAUCCUUGCUUAAAUUUCUUAAAGUUUGUUGUAAAAUAUGAAUAAUAUCCUCAAAUAUUUAUAGUGAUCACGCAUGGGAAAAAUAAGAUAAUUUUAAAAGACAAAAACAUAUUGAAGAAAAAUAUAUUGCGUACUAAAAAAAAAGACAAUAUGUAUUCCAUGGCCAAUUGCAAAGACAAUGGGUCAUCAAAAUCCAUAGAGCCAUGGAAAGGUUAAAUAAAUUAGAACAUGUUUGUCUUUUGGAUCAUGAUAAUUUGAGGAUUAAAGAGACGUUUUAUACAAUUAAUCUUUUCUAAAAAGUUGCUUUUGGUUAAAUUGUUUCAGAAAAUAGAAUUUAAAACUAGCGAGUUGUAAAAUUUGGCUUCCUAAUAAAUUUAGGAUAAAAGUGAUGUAAUGUCCAAUUAAUUCUAAAUGAGUGAUUUAUUUUGACUAUUAAAUGUUUUAAUAUUGGAAUAUUAAAUUUUUAGUAUCUAAAAAAUUUUGAAAUUUUAUUUUUAGUACUUAUUAAAAAAAAUUAUAUUUUUUAGUUUCUACAAAAUUGUUAUAUAAGUAGUUUAAUUUAUACCAUAUUGGAACAUCAAUAUAUAUAUAUAUAUAUAUUUGAAUACUUUUUUUUUUUUUGCAUACAUGCUGACAUUAUAAAAAGUUCAACAUAAAAAAUGAUAUCAAAAUUCAAUUUCUAGAUCUAUAUUUUAAAGACUUUUAUCUUAAAUAGACGACGUUUAAUUAAUUCAUCCCAAAUUAAAAAAAAAUUAUAUGAAUUAAUUUUUAAUAAUAUUCUAAACAUGCUUACAAUAUUAUUCAAAUAUUUAAAAGUUGAAGAAUAUUUUAUUUCAUCAGAGACUAAAAUAAUUUGAUUAAUAAUUUUAUAGGAAUUAAAAAAAAUGUAUGCACACAUAAAAAAAUAAAAAAUUAUCAUCUUUAUAUGGGUCUAAGAACACAACUAAAACAAAUCAAACAAUAACUUCUCGUUUUAAUUAUGAGUUAUAUUUGGUAUUUGUAACAUUUUAUUUUAUUUUUACAUCUUACCUUAUUAUGAGUUGAUAUAAUUAUUCUAUAAAUUAUUGGUGAUAAUUAUUAUUGUAAUGUGUUAUUUUAAUUUUUAAUAAUAAUAAUAAUAAUAAUAAUAAUAAUAAUAAUAAUAAUAAUAAAAGGGAAUCGUUAAAAACAAAUUUCAUGAUUUAGAGGCUGUAAAUACACGUUUCCCAUUUAAUAUCACGUUUUCCAUUUAAUACCCUCCCCUUUAAUACACAUCCCCAUUUAAUAGCACACGUUACCCACUUCUAAUGAUAAAAAAUGAAUAAAACAAAACAUAAAAAGAAAUAAAACAAAAAUGGGUUUAAGAGAGAAAAAGAAAUAAAUUCAAGAACUAAAUGAGUUACUGAUUCAUCCCUUAAGUAUAGCACAUUUGGAGCAAAGACUUGGGUGAGAAUUUUAAUAACGCCACUCAUAUCGAUAAGGGCGUGACUCCAUCCGCUUUUCUAAUUGAAUUAUUGUUUGUGUGUUAUAUUCAAAAUGAAUAUUAAUAAUUAUUGUGUUUGACAUGUUCAAAAUGUGGAAAAUAAAUGUUAUGUGAUAUGUUGUUAUAAUGGUUGUGUUGAGCAUAUUCAAAGUGUGAAGAAUAAAUGUUAUGUGAUAUGUUGUUAUAAUGGUUGUGUUGAACAUAUUCAAAGUGUGGAAAAUAAAUGUUAUGUGAUAUGGUGUUAUAAUGUUAUGUCGAACAUAUCCAAAGUGUGAGGAAUAAAUGUUAUGUGAUGUGUCGUUGAUAAGUUAGUAUCCCAUUAUAUUUUAUUAGAGUGUACACGAAGCCCUUGCGGGGGGAAGCGAUAUUCCAGAAUCAUUACAUUGGCAUAUAUAAAUUAAGUAAUAAGGUUUGUUGGAUAUGCAUUAAUUAAAGUGUAGUGUGACUAGUGUUUUGUAACGAUAACUGAUACAUUGUAUCUUCUGGUUUUGGAUGAAUUAACUUUAUAAAAAAUGUGAUAUUGUAUCUCCUGGUUUUAAGUGAAUUAACGUUAUUAAAUAUGUGAUAGUGUACUUCUAUAUCUUAUUAUUAAUUAGGUAGAUAUGAUAAUAUUAUAUUUGUAUUGUCAAUGUGGUUAGUCGUUUGAGUGAAUUAAUGUUAUUAAUUAUGCAAACAUUGUACUGUUAUCUUUUCAUUGUUGUUAUAUCUUUAAUGCGUUGUGAUUUUUAAUUGUUAAAUGGAGUACAUGAUUUAUUUAUAUUUUUGCUAUAACAACUAUAUAUGCAUGCAUAUUUGCUAUGUGUUUGUUAUUUUGAGAUGACCCUUAUAUUUGAUAGGACGUUAUAUAGUGCUAUGUGUUUGUUAUAUUUUCAUUGUUAUUAUACCUUUGGGUGCGUUUUGAUUUUUAACUAUUAAAUGAAGUACAUGAUUUAUUUAUAUUUUUGCUACAACAACUAUAUAUGCAUGCAUAUUUGCUAUGUGUUUGUUAUUCGGAGUUGACCCUUACAUUUGACAGACUUGUUGGGUUAGUUUACCAAAAGUCCAAAGUUUAUGACCAACUGGAUUUAUGUUUGGGUAGUAAAAUAUCAAUAGUUUUGGCUAUAGGAGUCUCUUUUGUUUAACAUAUUAAAUUUACAUUGUAAAUAUUUUGAUUCUUUAUUUUCGAAAAUAUAACUAAAAAUAUUAUUAAUUGAUUUUAAGAUAAAUGAGUAUUUAAAAUAAUUAUAAAUAAAUAAAAGCAAAUUUGUAUUUUUACGUAUAGAAUUCCGUUAGUUAAUGUCCCGAAAAAGCGGGAUGUUACAGUGUUGGUUAGCAUCCUUCUAAUCAGCUGUUGGGGAAUUCCUUGUGCCUUCAUUUUAUUGAAUGGAUUUUUCUUUGUCCGAAGAAGAACAAACCAUUGUGGAGUGUUUGCCGUUAUAAACAAUUAUUAAAAUAGAGUAAUAUUAAUGGAAAUGCACAAUUGCUCCUGCGAUCCCUUAACUUAAUUUUAGAUAACACUUUAAUUUUUUUUAAAUGGUCUUUUAUUUAAUAUUAUUACAAAAAUUCGAAAAUAUAAAGAAUGAAAAUAUGAGUUUAUUUAAAGAUUUAAGUUAUUUCAUCGACGUUGUUUCCAUAAACUAUGAUCUCAUCAACAUAUAUCACUAAGGCAGUAAAGGACGAGCAAAUGGAUUUAAUGAAUAAAGAAUGAUAUGAAUUAGAUUGAGUAUACUCUUUUGAAAUGAGAGUGGAGGAAAGUCUAGCAAACCAUUGCUUACUAGACUAUUUUAAACCAUAAAGAGGUUUUUGAAGUUUACAAACAAUAUUUGGAUUAUGAGCCAAUAACCCAAGGAACAAUUGCAUAUAGACUUCCUCUUCUAAAUUGCCAUGUAAAAAAGCAUUGUAAACGUCUAACUUAUGAAAAUGUCAAUUAUGAGAUGAUACAAGAGCAAGUAAGAGUCUUACGAUAAUGAGCUUAGCUAAAGUGAAUAAGUAUCAAAAUAAUCAAUUCCUUCAAUUUGGUUAAAACAUUUGGCAACAAGGCGUGCCUUAUAAUGUAUUAUAGAACCGUAAGCGUUAUAUUUUACCUUAUAAACCCAUCGACAACCUAAGGGCUUUUUAACACGUGGCAACUUAGUAAGAGUCCAAGUGUUGACUGAUCGAGGGUUGUUAGAUGAGAUUGCAUGGUCUGAACCUAAUUAUUAUAUGUGACAACUUGUUUAAAGCUAGUAGGGUCACGAACAACAGAAAUAAAGGAAAUAAAAUGAUAGAAAAAAAUAUGACAAUUUUGACUAAGAUAAGACCUGGUAUAAAUGAUACAAUAUAUUGGACUUAUGGCACCUAUCAUGUGCAAAAUUUCACUCAAAAUCUUGUAAGUAAGCAGGGACCUUGUUAGACCUUGAAGACCUACGAAUAGUAUCUUGAUGCUCAUCAAAAUCAAAGAUAGGGGAAGUAUGUAAAUUGUUAGGACUAGUAUCAAGACUAGAUGAAGGAGUUGGAGCAAAUAUAAUACUAUCAUCAGUGGAGUUAUUAACAUAAACAAUUAUUAGGCUAAAGCAUAUUAGUAUCAUCAAACAGAAUAAAGGAAUCACCAGAAUCAUCAUUAAUAUGCAAGGAAGUAGAAUUAAGAUUAACAUAUGGAAAAACAUGUUCAUAAAAAUCUACAUUCCUAGAAACAAAGGUGACAUGGGUAUGUAAAUCAAACAUCAAUUAACCUUUAGUUCCUUAUCUAAAUCCAAGGAAAAUACACUUGGGGGCCCUUUGAUAAAGUUUAGUUCUAUGAUAUAGCAAAGUGGAAGCAUAAGCAAGACAUCAAAAAACCUUUAAAUACAUAAAGUUAGGAGAUUGUUUAUAUAACAUUUCGAAAGGGGUCUUAUUAUGUAAAACAGGAGGUAGUUAACCUGUUAAUAAGAACAACAUGAUUAAUAGCAAAAGACAAAAAAUUCUUUGGUAGUUUAGAGUGGAAAAUAAGUGAUCUAGUCACAUUAAGAAGAUGAGGAUGUUUCCUUUCAACAAUUAAGUUUUAUUGGGGUGUCUCAACACAAGAGGUUUGAUGCAAUAUGCUCACACUAGAAUAAAAAAGAGGCAUAUUGAAUUCAAGACCAUUAUCAUUGCUAAUUUUCUAGACUUUUGUAUGGAAUUGUGUUCUAACAAAGGAAACAAAGUUUUGAAGGAGCAUACGAGUUUCAGAUUUAGCAUUCAUUAAAAAUAACCAAGAAAAUCAUGAAUAAUCGUCAACAAUAGUUGGAUAAUAUUGAUGACCCUCAAAAGAAGGAACAUUAAUAGGUCCUCAAAUAUCAACAUGUAUAAGGCUAAAAAUAUGUAAAGAAACAUUUUCACUACGGGGAAAAGGGAUUUUAGCAUUUUUUGCCCAAAUAAAAAGAGUCACAAAUUAUAUUUUUAUUAACUGAAAUGUAAGAAAAUCGUUUACACGUUUGUUGUAACAGGGUUAUUGAUGGAUGGACCUAACCUAAAAUGUAAAACAUCAAAUUUAUUUGGUAUAGUGGCAUUAACAAAGGUAGUAUAAUGGUCAUUAGAAACAAGAGCAAAAUCAGUAGAAAAAACCAUAGCAGAGGUAUAAUAUGAUCAAGAAUAUACAGGCUAUUACAAUGCUCCACAUGUCAAAUCGUCUUAUGGGUAUGCAAAUCCUGAAUUGUAUAAAAAUUCUUAGAAAAUAAUAGUUUGUAAUUCAAAUCAAGAGUGAGUUUUGAAAUAGAUAUUAAACUAAAAUUGAAUUGAUGAAUAAACAACCUAUUUUUCAAGUAAAGAUCAGAAGUAAAGUAAAAAUCUUCUAAAAAAUGCGCAAGAAUAAACGACCCAUUUGAAAAAAUAAUAAAAAUUGGUUCAAUUUGUUUCAUUGAAUAAAAACAUUUGAUAAAUGGACCAACAUGAUCUGAAGCCCCCGAAUCCAUAAUCCAUAGAGAAAAAGGAAUAGAUACGAAACUUGUAUUAGAAAUACUUGAUACUACGUGAUUGGAUUGAUCUGAAAUAGAAUUCUUGGUUUUGAAAGAAGUUACAUCAUCAUAUUUAGAAUUGUGUAGCAGAUUAAUCAUAAUAUUAUAAUAUGUUUUGCUAAGAUGAUUGUUGAUUGUUGGAAUCGUGUUGCUGUGUAGGCUAGGAGAGAGAAGGAUUCUUGGAACCAUUUAUUGAAGACGAAUUCAAAGAUUGUUUUUUAGGAUAAGUUAGUUGAAAGCCAUGUUUGAAAUAACAUAUGUCUACAAUGUGAUUAUUCUUAUGGCAUCGAGUAUAAAACAUGGAGGGCCGAGGCUGACCACGACGAUGAUGGUAUUGCCCGCGACCUUGACCUGAAUUUUUGGAAGUAUUGAUAUUAAAAACAACAUAAGUAUCAGGAGGAUUAUGGUUCGAAUUGGGGACCAGGUCUUAUUGAAAAACGAAAGAAUACACCUUGUUAAUAUAAGGUAAAGGAUCCAUGAAUAAAAUCUGUGUGUGAAUGUUAUUGUAAUUUUUAUUCAAACCUUUAAGAAAACAAGUGAUAUACUCUUGAUGCUUGAAAUAAUGAACUGUUGUGCUGAGCUUGCAAGAACGAGGAAUAGGGCAUAUGCAUGAUUGUGUUGGGCACAAAUCCUCCAAUUCACCCCAAAGAAUCUUCACAUUGGUGAAAUAGGUAGACAAAGAAUGUUCACCUUGUUUGAUUGAAUGAAGAUCACGAAUUAGAUUGGAAAAUCGAAAAUUAUUUCCUUGAAUGAAACGAUCACGAAGAUCAUACCAUAACUCUAAUGCUGAAUCAAUGCAAAUGGAGAACGUUAAAAACUCAAUAUUGAUUUUGGUUGUGAAAACGGAGAACAUCCUUGGUUCUGGAAACAUAAAAUGGAGAACAUUCUAGGUUAAUUAAAAUCAAUAGUUUAGUUUAUAUGUUUAACUUGAUAAACAAAAGGACUGAAAGUAAAUAGAGAUAAGAGGAUAGAUAUCACACAAUGAUAUAUCUUAGUUCACCUAACUCGGGCUAUGUUCAGUCCUUACAAUUGUGAUAUUUUCCACUAAGCAUUCCAAUGGAGAACGUUCUUAGUUUUACACAGUUUUGUUCAGAUUAACCUUGAUAUGUAACAACAAUUCAUUUUCACUUAGAAAGGAUUCAAUUAGGUCACUUAUCAAUCUUUAGAGAGGAUUUUACAAUUCACCUUUUAACCAUAAAAAUGAUUUUCUACAAACUAUAAACAACUAUUAUAGUCUUGAGUUUACACAAUAAUGAUUUAAAGAGAUUGGUAGAAUCUGACUAUGUUUAAAUCGUGUUUGAGAAUACAUUCUUGAUAAAAGAAAUCAAUAUAACGGUUCUGAUAUUUAAAGAAGAAAACAUAACUUAAUCUUUUGCUUAUGAUUGAGAAGCUUUCAAGUAUAUAAGUGUAUGUAAGUGAUGGAUUUCUUAACACUUGAAGUUCUAUUUUUCCUUGAACUUGAGGUUCUUUUUAUAGGCUUCAAGGAGGAUGAUGACAACUACUUUGACCUUUGGAAAAUAUCUAGCUGUCAUGUGUCAGAUUUGACAAAAUUCCAUAACUUUUAAACCAUGAAUGUUUCUUGACUAGCUUCUCAUUCUUGACCGUGAUUCAUGGUCUUUUAUGCUCAUAGACAUCUCAAAGAUGUGUUUAAUGUAUUAAGAUCGAGAAUGUCUUUGGUUCGAUCAAAACAAGCUAGAGAAGGAUGUACACAUGUUGGAGAUUGAUUGUUAAUAUGCUGGAUAAUGAUGUUAUUUGUAACAUCCCGCGGUUUCGAGACAUUAACUAACAAAAUUCUAAACGUAAAAAUACAAAUUCGUUUUUAUUUAUUUAUGAUUAUCUUAAAUACUCAUUUACCUUAAUAUCAAUUAAUAAUAUUUUUAGUUAUAUUUUCAAAAAUAAUGAAUCAAAGUAUUUACAAUCACUAAAAGUAAAUUUAAUACAUUAAACAAAAGAAACUCAUAGAGGCAAAACUAUUGAUGUUUUACUACCCAAGCAUAAAUCCUAGUUGGUAAUAAACUUUGGAGUUGUGGAAAACUCACCCAAUAAAUCUAACACACCACACAUCUAUAUAUGAAUGAACGCAUGUGGACACUUUAAUAAAUCAUUAAUAUAAUGCAAGGUUAACUUAUUAACGGACAUAACAUUUAUUCUUCACACUUUGAAUAUGUUCAACACACCCAUUAUAACAACAUAUCACAUAACAUUAUUUUUCACACUUUGAAUAUGUUCAACAUAACCAUUAUAAUAACAUAUCACACCAUAUUUAUUUUCUACAAUUUGAUAAAAAAAAACAUUUCAACAUAGUAUAUAUUUAAUCUAACAAAUUUAUGAAUAAACACAAUCAUACAUAAAUAUAAUUGGAGUGAUGGCCUUACCGAUUUGAGUGUCGUUGCUCCAAAUGUGCUACAUUUGAGCUAUGAAUCACUAACUCAUUUAGUUCUUGUAUUUCUUCCUUUACCUCUCUUAAACCAGCAUUUUUGAAUGGAAGACGUCAUUGUUGUUUAGUUCCUUAUUAUCGUUAGAAGUGGGGAACUUGGUAUUAAAUGGGGAGCGUGGUAUUCCAGCAUAAGCCAUCAAAUUUAUUUUUAAUUAAUGGUUCCCUUUUAUUAUUAUUAUUAUUAUUAUUAUUAUUAUUAUUAUUAUUAUUAUUAUUAUUAUUGUUAUUAUUAUUAUUGUUAUUAUUAUUAUUAAUAUUAAUAUUAUUACCAAAAAUCAAAAUAACACAAUACAAUAGUAAUUAUCACCAACAAAUUCCUAGAAUAAUUAUCUCAAAUUCUAAUAAGGUAAAAUAUAAAAAUUAAAUAAAAUGUCUAGAUGUUAUAUGUUAGAGAGUCAAACAUUUGUGAUAACUUUCCACGAAUAUAUCAAACGUGUCAUGUAACACCCCAAAUUUUAUAAUAAACUAUUUUAUUAAUUAAAUAAGAUUUUAAAUAAUUAAUUUGACGUUAAACUUAUUUUAUAAUAUAUGUUGAUUUUCGUGCUAGUUUUGAGAUAAUUUCUACGAUGUGCUAGUUUUAUAAAUAUUAUAUUAAAUGAGCGAUAUAAAUAAUAAAUAUUAUAUUUUAUUAUUUGAUUUUUUUUUAAAAUAAUAGUAUUUUAGUGUAAUAUUUUAAAGAAAAAGAUUUUAUGCGAUUUUAUGUGUAUAUACCUGUACUCAAUUAAUGUAAUAUUUUUCUGUGCGCUUGAAUGAUGUUAAGUACGCACGUAGUUAUAUUUUAAUUAUUUAUAACUAUUUUCUAUUUUUAGUUAUUUAUUUUAUAAAUAAUUAUCUUGAGAUAGUAGUAAAUUGUAUUUAAUCUUGAUUUUUAUAUACUUGUUAUGGCAUUAUGAUUUUAUAUUUAUUUAUUUUAUAAUUUUAAAUAUUUUCUAACGUAGUAAUUUAAUGUAAGUAUUUGAAAAAAUAAGUAUAAUUAUAGUGAUUAAUUUGAAUAUGAGAGUUUUGGUUAUGAAUAUAUUUUAAAAUAAUAAUUAUUUUAUUUUAUAAAUUAUUAGUUUUGAAAUAUUAAUAAUAUUUUACUAAUAAAAUUAUGUUUUAUAAAUUCAUACACACUAUGUUUUUUAUUAUACCAUAGAACUUGUCAUAAAUUUUUUAAUUUUCAUUGCCUCUAAUAAAAUUUAGAAAAAUUCUAUUGAACAUUCAUUAAUCUGACAUCUACUAAUACAUUUGAUAGUUAAUUCUAUUGAACAUUUAUUUAUUAAUCUGACAUCUACUAAUACAUUUGAUAGUUAAGUUAAUAGUUAAAUAAUUUUUUUUUGAAUCAAAACUAUUUUUAUUAUUUAGCAAAUCAUAAUCACUAAAAGUUAUUUAUCAAAAUUGUCGGCAAAAUAAAAAUUAAUUUUUUUCAUUGAAUUUUUAUAACUCAUAAUAAUGAGUAUUUAAUAUUUUUUACAAUAUAAUGUAAAAACUUAAUUUAAUGCUUAUAAUAAUGAACUAAUUGUUUUUCUUAUAAAAUAAUUUUUCCUAAAAUAUAAAAGUGAAUAAAUAGCUCUUUGAUUAAUAAAAAUGAUCGUUAAUUAUUAAUUUAAAGAACAAAUAUUUUGUGUGUGGUGUAUUAUAAAAGUUAUAUCAAUUUUGAUAAUGUUAAAUUGUAAACACAUAUUACAUAAUCAUUUAGAAAAUAAUACAAACUACAUAUAAAAUUAUAAUGAAAAUGUAUACAAAGAAAAAAUGAUAUAUAACUCACCCUUUUCGGUAUUAGAGGAAGUCUCCAUUAAGUCCCUAGCUGAGACCUCAAAGGAGAUCAUAAGAACCAUAGCCAAAAGGCCAAGGAUGAGGGUUGUUUUUUUUCAAAUCCAUUGUUCAAUAUUUGGUAGUCAAAUUAAGAUGAGAAAAAUGGUAAGAAAGUGUAGUCUAUAUAUAGUGGAGGGAGAGGUUGAGAAAAAUUGUUUAAUAUGUGUCAAAUAUUGAGUAAAUAUAAUGUGUGAAAUCAUCAAAAAUGAUAUUUAUAUGGACAGAAAGAAUAUUAACCAACAAAUUUUAUCUCCCCAAUUGAUUUUUUUUAUCAAAAAAAAAAAAUUAUAAUAUUAGAUUUAUUAAUAGUGUAUAUUUUUCCAUGUUUACAUUUCGAUAAUUUAUAUUUUUUAUGAUUGUAUUUAUUUUUGGUAAAAAAAAAUGUAAUAUAUAUCUAAUAUUGAAAAUUUGAAAGAAUUCUGUUACGAAAAUAAAUUGUAUAGAAAAUCCAUCCUUCUAUAUCUAGAGUUAUUUUUGGACUUUUUCUAUAAUUAGGGAUGAAGCCAUAAGUACUAAGUAGUAGUUGUCACUGCCCCUAAUUGAGAUUGAAGCAUUAAAUGUGAUAACAUAGUUGUGAGAAGAAAUCAAAAUACUGGGCAGGUGGAAAUAAACGGUCUGUAGGUUACUUUUUUUUUAUCCCACAAUGAAUGUUACUUUCUCAUUCCACAUAUUAGACAUAUUAAGAAAUGACAAUUAAUAAAUGGAAGAGAAUAGUAAAUUAAUUUACAAAAUUAUCUAUGCGGACAAUUGGUAUGUUUCUCACUAUCACUAUUAUAAAUGUAAAAUGAAAUGUGUAUUUUGGAAAUAGUGUACAUGCAUAUAGUAUUGAUUAGAAGAUAAAAUUAAAAAAAAUAAUUAAUCUUACAUUGAAAACUGAUAAAUAAUAUUUAUUUUAUAAUGAAUUUUAUUUGUUAAAGUGAUACUGAGAGAGUAAUUUAUUCUACAUUCUAUAUAUGGUAAAAAGUAUUGUUUUCUCUAUUUCAUUAAUACAUUUAUUUUAUAAUAUGUAAAAUGAUCAAAAAGGUCAUCACUCAUUGUGGAAUGAAGUGAUUAAUUUUAUAAAAAUGUCAUAGAUAAAUUAUUAGGGGUGCAACAAGACAAUCAAUAUCACCAAAUGAAUGUGUUAUUAUUUUAAUUUUCAAUAAAAAAUUAAUUGUUGUUUUUUAAGUUUAUUUUUAAAUUAAUAUAAUAUACCUUAUUCUUAAGUUACAAUGAGAAAAUAAUGUUACAAUGAGAAAAUAAUAUCUAAUGGUUGGGUGAUGAGUACUAAAUGACAUAAACUAAUUUUCUUGCCUAAAACAAACAUGACAAUUUUAGUGAUAAAAAUUAAUGUAGCGAGUUGAACAAAAUAAUAUGACAUGAAACAUGAUAAUAAAAAGGCAAGUUUAAGUGAAAGAUGGUUCAUCAUAUAACAAAAGACAGGGGCGGAGCUUCCUUGGGACUAAGGGGGGCCGCGCCACCCCAAAAAAAAAAAAUUAUAAGUACAAUGACUAAAAUGUCCAUUUUAAAAUUAAAAAAUUACAAAACAUACCUAAACCUAAUUCAGUUUUCUGUUUAUUUCUCUCUCUUCCAUCCAGCCUUCCUCUCUCCCUCUCUCUCUUUUGCUUACAAGUUCCAGCCUUCCUCUCUCCCUCCUCCAUAAUCAGAUUCAUGAAUCAAGACAAACGUGCGGUCGUCUCUCUACGACAAUCGCUCGUCUGCUCGCUCACGAAAUCGCUCGCUGCGGCCAAUCGUUCGUCUGCCUGACUGCCUCUGUCCGUGGCCAUUCGUCGCUGCCUCUCUACUCGCCGCAACCUCAUCAGUCAUCUGUCUCUAGAUCUUGUUGCUGCUUUGUUCAAAAUGUUCGAAUUUCUAUUUUGUUAUUGCUGAUUUUUGUUAGUUAGUGUCGAUUUUUGUUAGGUUUGAUAUUUUUUAGCAUAAAAUUUAAAACUUAUAUUGUUAUUGUUGAGUUUAGAGUUUUGAUUUGGAGUUUGAAAUUUUGAUUUGGAGUUUUAAUUAGCAGAUUUUUGUUUAGAGUUUUUGUGUUGCACAUAAGGUGUUUGAAUUUAUGUCAGUAUAAAGUGUUUGAGUUUUUUUUUGUCUCACAUAAGGUGUUUGAUUUUAUGUGUUUGAUUUUUUUUUUUGCAUACAAAGUGUUUGAGUUUUGUUGCAUUUUUGUUUGAGUUUUUUUGUCUAUAUAAAGUGUUUUAUUUAUUUUUUUUGAAUAUAAGAUGUUUUAUGUUUAUUAAAUUGAUUGAUUUAGAUAAGUUUGUGAGAAUGAAGAAGAGUAGAAGAAUUGAUUAUUUUUUCAUGAGGAAAAUUUGUGAGAGUGAAUUAUGUCAGCCACUCCAAAUUUUUCAGUCAAGUUCCGCCAUUGACAAUAGAUCAUACUUUAUUUAAUAUAGUAAGUGGGAAACAAAAUAAUUCAUAGAUGCAUGUUUCUAGUUUUCAUGGAGAUUCCAUGUUUCAAUGUCCUCUUUUCCUAGGUUUAUUACCAUUUUCUCCUUCACCUUUGUCUCCGUUAUCGUGGUUUCCUCCAUUGUCGUCUUCUUCAACGGGUGGCUCACUAUCGUGGUAUCCCAUGCCACCAAAGUUGUAUAUCAUGCUCUGUACCCAUUCUGAUGCCCAACCCAAUGCCAAAUCUCUCAAAGUUCUCCAAUCUACAAACCUUCUUAUUAAAGUACUAUAUUCGGAUUGCUCAGCUGCCACAAUAGUCAUAAGAAGGGGAACACAUAGAAAGAAUACUAAGAUAAAAAAUUUUGUUUUCAUCCCUUGCUUAAAUUUCUUAAAGUUUCUUGUAAAAUAUGAAUAAUAUCCUCAAAUAUUUAUAGUGAUCACGCAUAGAAAAAAUAAGAUAAUUUUAAAAGACAAAAACAUAUUGAAGAAAAUUAUAUUGCGUACUAAAAAAAAAGACAAUAUGUAUUCUAUGGCCAAUUGCGAAGACAAUGGGUCAUCAAGAUCCAUAGAGCCAUGGAAAAGUUAAAUAAAUUAGAACAUGUUUGCCUUUUGGAUCAUGAUAAUUUGACGAUCAAAGAGACGUUUUAUCCAAUUAAUCUUUUCUAAAAAGUUGCUUUUGGUAAAAUUGUUUCAGAAAAUAGAAUUUAAAACUAGGGAGUUGUAAAAUUUGACUUCCUAAUAAAUUUAGGAUUAAAGUGAUGUAAUGUCCAAUUAAUUCUAAAUGAAUGAUUUAUUUUGACUAUUAAAUGUUUUAAUAUUGGAAUAUUAAAUUUUUAGUAUCUAAAAAAUUUUGAAAUUUUAAUUUUAGUACUUAUUAAAAAAAAUUAUAUUUUUUAGUUUCUACAAAAUUGUUAUGUAAACAGUUUAAUUUAUACCAUAUUGGAACAUCAAUAUAAAUAUUUAAAUACUUUUUUUUUUGCAUACAUGCUGACAUUAUAAAAAGUUCAACAUAAAAAAUGAUAUCAAAAUUCAAUUUCUAGAUCUAUAUUUUAAAGACUUUUAUCUUAAAUAGACGACGUUUAAUUAAUUCAUCCCAAAUUAAAAAAAAAUUAUAUGAAUUAAUUUUUAAUAAUAUUCUAAACAUGCUUACAAUAUUAUUCAAAUAUUUAAAAGUUGAAGAAUAUUUUAUUUCAUCAGAGACUAAAAUAAUUUGAUUAAUAAUUUUAUAGGAAUUAAAAAAAAUGUAUGCAUACAUAAAAAAAUAAAAAAUUAUCAUCUUGGUUCUAAGAACACAACUAAAACAAAUCAAACGAUAACUUCUCGUUUUGAUUAUGAGUUAUAUUUGGUAUUUGUAAUAUUUUAUUUUAUUUUUACAUCUUACCUUAUUAUGAGUUGAUAUAAUUAUUCUGUAAAUUAUUGGUGAUAAUUAUUAUUGUAAUGUGUUAUUUUAAUUUUUAAUAAUAAUAAUAAUAAUAAUAAUAAUAAUAAUAAAAAAGGGAAUCGUUAAAAACAAAUUUCAGACGCUGGAAAUACACGUUUCCCAUUUAAUAUCACGUUUUCUAUUUAAUACCAUCCCUUUAAUACACGUCCCCAUAUAAUAACACACGUUACCCACUUCUAAUGAUAAAAAAGGAAUAAAACAAAACAUAAAAAGAAAUAAAACAAAAACGGGUUUCAGGGAGAAAAAGAAAGAAAUUCAAGAACUAAAUGAGUUACUGAUUCAUCCCUCAAGUAUAACACAUUUGAAGCAAAGACCACUGCGUGAAAAUUUUAAUUACGACACUCAUAUUGAUAAGGGGCAUGACUCCAUCCGCUUUUCUAAUUGAAUUAUUGUUUGUGUGUUAUAUUCGAAAUGAAUAUUAAUAAUUGUUGUGUUUGACAUGUUCAAAAUGUGGAAAAUAAAUGUUAUGUGAUAUGUUGUUAUAAUGGUUGUGUUGAGCAUAUUCAUAGUGUGAAGAAUAAAUGUUAUGUGAUAUGUUGUUAUAAUGGUUGUGUUGAACAUAUUUAAAGUGUGGAAAAUAAAUGUUAUGUGAUAUGGUGUUAUAAUGUUGUGUUAAACAUAUUCAAAGUGUGAAGAAUAAAUGUUAUGUGAUGUGUCGUUGAUAAGUUAGUAUCGCAUUAUAUUUUAUUAGAGUGUACACGAAGCCCUUGCGGGGGAAGCGAUAUUUCGGAAUCAUUAUAUAGAUUAAGUAAUAAGGUUUGUUGGAUAUGCAUUAAUUAAACUGUAGUGUGACUAGUGUUUUGUAAAGAUAACUGAUACAUUGUAUCUCCUGGUUUUUGUGAAUUAAAGUUAUAAAAAAUGUGAUAUUGUAUCUCCUGGUUUUGAGUGAAUUAACGUUAUUAAAUAUGUGAUAGUGUACUUCUAUAUCUUAUUAUUAAUUAGGUAGAUAUGGUAAUGUUAUAUUUGUAUUGUCAAUGUGGUUAGUCGUUUGAGUGAAUUAAUGUUAUUAAUUAUGCAAACAUUGUACUGUUAUCUUUUCAUUGUUAUUAUAUCUUUAAUGCGUUGUGAUUUUUAAUUGUUAAAUGGAGUACAUGAUUUACUUAUAUUUUUGCUAUAACAACUAUAUAUGCAUGCAUAUUUGCUAUGUGUUUGUUAUUUUGAGAUGACCCUUAUAUUUGACAGGACGUUACAUAUAGUGCUAUGUGUUUGUUAUAUUUUCAUUGUUAUUAUACCUAUUGGUGCGUUUUGAUUUUUAACUGUUAAAUGAAGUACAUGAUUUAUUUAUAUUUUUGCUAUGAUAUCUCUAUAUGCAUGCAUAUUUGCUAUGUGUUUGUUAUUUGGAGUUGACCCUUACAUUUGACAGACUUGUUGGGUUAGCUUACCAAAAGUCCGAAGUUUAUGACCAACUGAAUUUAUGCUUGGGUAGUAAAAUAUCAACAGUUUUGGCUAUAGGAGUCUCUUUUGUUUAAUAUAUUAAAUUUAAAUUGUAAAUAUUUUGAUUCUUUAUUUUUGAAAAUAUAACUAAAAAUAUUAUUAAAUGAUUUUAAGAUAAAUGAGUAUUUAAAAUAAUUACAAAUGAAUAAAAGCAAAUUUGUAUUUUUACGUAUAGAAUUUUGUUAGUUAAUGUCCCGAAAAAGCAGGAUGUUAGUCUUGGUUAGCAUCCUUCUAAUCUGCUGUUGGGGAAUUCCUUGUGCCUUCAUUUUAUUGAAUGGAUUUUUCUUUGUCCGAAGAAGAACAAACCAUUGUUGAGUGUUUGCCGUUAUAACCAAUUAUUAAAAUAGAGUAAUAUUAAUGGAAAUGCACAAUUGCUCCUGCGAUCCCUUAACUUAAUUUUAGAUAACACUUUAAUUUUUUUUAAUUGGUCUUUUAUUUAAUAUUAUUACAAAAAUUCGAAAAUAUAAAGAAUGAAAAUAUGAGUUUAUUUAAAGAUUUAAGAUAUUUCAUCGACGUUGUUUCCAUAAAUUAUGAUCUCAUCAACAUAUAUCACUAAGGCAGUAAAGGACGAGCAAAUGGAUUUAAUGAAUAAAGAAUGAUAUGAAUUAGAUUGAGUAUACUCUUUUGAAAUGAGAGUGGAGGAAAGUCUAGCAAACCAUUGCUUACUAGACUAUUUUAAACCAUAAAGAGGUUUUUGAAGUUUACAAACAAUAUUUGGAUUAUGAGCCAAUAACCCAAGUAACAAUUGCAUAUAGACUUCCUCUUCUAAAUUGCCAUGUAAAAAAGCAUUGUAAACGUCUAACUUAUGAAAAUGUCAAUUAUGAGAUGAUACAAGAGCAAGUAAGAGUCUUACGAUAAUGAGCUUAGCUAAAGUGAAUAAGUAUCAAAAUAAUCAAUUCCUUCAAUUUGGUUAAAACAUUUGGCAACAAGGCGUGCCUUAUAAUGUAUUAUAGAACCAUCAGCGUUAUAUUUUACCUUAUAAACCCAUCGACAACCUAAGGGCUUUUUAACACGUGGCAACUUAGUAAGAGUCCAAGUGUUGACUGAUAGAUUGCAUGGUCUGAACCUAAUUAUUAUAUGUGACAACUUGUUUAAAGCUAGUAGGGUCACGAACAACAGAAAUAAAGGAAAUAAAAUGAUAGAAAAAUUAUGACAAUUUUGACUAAGAUAAGACCUGGUAUAAACGAACAACAGAAAUAAAGGAAAUAAAAUGAUAGAAAAAAUAUGACAAUUUUGACUAAGAUAAGACCUGGUAUAAAUGAUACAAUAUAUUGGACUUAUGGCACCUAUCAUGUGCAAAAUUUCACUCAAAAUCUUGUAAGUAAGCAGGGACCUUGUUAGACCUUGAAGACCUACGAAUAGUAUCUUGAUGCUCAUCAAAAUCAAAGAUAGGGGAAGUAUGUAAAUUGUUGGGACUAGUAUCAAGACUAGAUGAAGGAGUUGGAGCAAAUAUAAUACUAUCAUCAGUGGAGUUAUUAACAUAAACAAUUAUUAGGCAAAAGCAUAUUAGUAUCAUCAAACAGAAUAAAGGAAUCGUGAGAAUCAUCAUUAAUAUGCAAGGAAGUAGAAUUAAGAUUAACAUAUGGAAAAACAUAUUCAUAAAAAUCUACAUUCCUAGAAACAAAGGUGACAUGGGUAUGUAAAUCAAACAUCAAAUAACUUUUAGUUCCUUAUCUAAAUCCAAGGAAAAUACACUUGGUGGCCCUUGGAUAAAGUUUAGUGCUAUAAUCACUACGCGAAAAAACGCAUUUUACAGCGCUUUUUUUAAGCCAUUUACAGCGCUUUUUCAAAAAAAUAAGCGCUGUGGAAACGAGCGCUGUAAAUGAUACAACAACGCUUUUAAAAAAGCGCUAUAAAACAUGUAAAUACAACGCGCGCUUGUUAUGCACAUUUUACAGUGCUUCUUCACAAAAAGCGCUGUAAUAUGCACCCCAUUAUAUGAGUUAUGGGUGUUCAUUUUACAGCAAAGCGCUCUAAAAUGCACACCCAUAACUCAUAUAAUGGGGGGCAUAUUACAGCGCUUUCUCAAACAAGCGUUGUAAUAUGCCCAACCAUAAUUUCAUAUAUGGGUGGGCAUAUUACAGCGCUUUUUUGAGAAAGCGCUGUAAAAUGCCCACCCAUAAUUUCAUAUAUGGGUGUGCAUAUUACAGCGCUUUCUCAAAAAAGCGCUGUAAAAUGCCCACCCAUAAUUUCAUAUUAUGGGUCUGCAUUUUACAGCGCUUUUCUUGUACAUUUUACAGCGCUUUCUCACGAAAGCGCUGUAAAAGGUGCACCAUUAAAGCGCUUUAGAACAACAUUUUACAGUGCUUUGUAAAAAAAGCGCUGUAAAAUGUGUGUUUUUUUUUUUUAAACGUUGUAAAUUAAUUAUUUGAAACGAAAAACGCUUUUUAGCUUUUUAUGGCAUUUUUUUUAAAAAGCGCUGUCUUUUAUCUUUGUAUCCAAAAUUAUUUUGAUCCAAAAUCACUUCACAAUCAGUGCACACAACAACAAAACAUAUUCAAAUACCAUAAGCAGUUCACACAAUCAGUAGAACAGAAAUCAGAACUCUGUAACUUUAUUAAUAUAUAUGUAACUCUGUAACUCUGUAAUUUACAACCUAAUUAACUACAUUCAGAUACGUAUAUAUAUAUAACCUAAUUUACAACCUAAACUACAUUCAGAUCCAUAUGCAUGUUCAUAUAUUGUGUCCUAUGAUCAUUUACAUAUAAUAACUAACAGAAUAUACAUUAUAUGCACUAGCUACCAUAUAAUAUUCAGAUCCCUUGCCCAGCAGCAAGCUAUUUCCCAGAAAAUCAAAUAAUUUUCAUGUCAAGCACGUACUGACACCAUUCUUCCUUUAAUUCCAUCAGAUCUUCCUCAGAAUAUGAUGGACUGGAAUUGGCAAAGUACUGCAAUAUAAAAAUUGAACAUAUUAUAUUAAGUUAGUAUCAAAUAUAUAGAUAAUUUAUAUAUGAAAAUCAUAUAAUGCAAAUACCGUACCGUUUCUGGGAUAAUAGUUUUAUUCUUCUCAACAAUCUCCUUCAUGAAUCUCAAUACGUAGUACCCACAGUCGAUGUUAUUUGUUUGACGAGGGCACUUUAUUGAGAUCCAUGUAAUGUUAUUAGACUUCUGCUUCGACACUUUAGCACCUCUUUGAGCUCGAUAAACUUUUAAGGCACUAUCGAAUGAAUAAAUGUGAUUAUUAGAGCAUGAAUAUUUAAAUAUAUAUAUAUGUAAGAAAUAAAUGAAUAUUACUUACGUGUCGAGCAUAUUCUUUAUUCCGGGGUGAUUGGUGUAAUCGCCGUGCACGGGAUCCAAAUAGUAUAUCACUUCAGAGACCGCAUUGAUUGCAAAUAGCACCCAAUGUGCCCUACAACAACAAAAAAUUGGUUAAGCAAUUUUGUUUAUAGACAACUAAUAAAUUAAAUUCUCAUCAAUUAAAAAAGAUAAAAUUACGUACCCUGAAUUAUAUGGUGCCAAGAACAAUUUAUCACUUUCUUUAUUUCUUAAAAACAUAUCUACAAUGUAGUGUUUUACAUUGUCUGGAUCGAGUUUGAACAUCGACAUCUUAUGCGGAGACAAGAAUGAGUAUUUAUUUGACAGUUUCCUCGUGCACACGACCUUCUCGUACAAAAACCUUCAAUGAAAAUUUUAAACUAGAUUAAUUACCAAUACAUUUAAUUAAUUACAAAUAAAUGCAAUUAAAAGUAUUUUUUACCUUAUGUACAAGCUGAUUACAGUAACACUCAGCUCCUUAUGUUCGAGAAGAUCGUACAUUUGCUCCUUUUCGAGGUAUUCAAUAUACUCAUCUCCAAAGAUGUCUUGAUUCAUUUGUACAAUGGGCGAAUCGUUGCUGCUGCCCAUGUUCCUUUUUAUUUGGAUGUCAAGACACGCCCCGUAUUUACCAAGGCGUGGCUGACUUUUAUUAGGAGCAGCAGCAGCAGCGACCGAUUUUCCCCGAUCCAGAUUUUUUGUUGCUGCAAGUUUUGCAGCUUUAUUACCCUCCAGCCUUUGUAGUUUGGCAGCCCUAUUAACCUCCAAUUUUUGAGGUCUGCUGCCUUUUUUUGGCUGUAGGGGUGGUUUAUUUAUUUGGACCUACAAAAAUGAGGUAAAAUGUUAGUUUAUUGAAUCUGAAAAAAUAAAAAACCUUAGGCAAUAAAUGUGACAAACCUUUUCGGGAGAUGUAACUGAUUUGUCCUUGGGAAUCUUUUUUUCGAGGGCAACAAGGUGUGUGGGCCAUGCCACGUAACUGCCAAUAGCGUCGCUUAAGAACUUCAUAUCUCCAUCGUUGUCCGGUAUGGGCAACGGUGCAGUUGGUUCGAAAGCAACCGUAGGCGAUACUUUGACAUGGCCCGCGGGGAUCGGAAUAUUGUGCAAUACUUCUCCCGAAGUAUUGUGCAAUAUUCCUUUUCCCACCUUCCGUUGAGUCGGCGAGGACAAGUAUAGGACACAUGUAGUGACACCCUACAUCAAUAGUUAAAACAUAAGUACAGUUAAUAUAUAAGUUUGUUUAAUACAUAAGUAAUUACAUAAGCAAGUAAGUAGUAAGUAAUUAAUUACCUCGGGAAUACUCUUCAAACCGACGUUGCAACUCCCGGUUUCACUCUCCAUUUGUAUUUCAGGUUGGAGCUGAACCGGAAGUUGCUUGUCUUUAUUCGUAUUCACCAAGAGUGCCACUUGCUCCGAUAAGAUUCUGAGCUUCUCUAAUACUUCCUCGUUGGAAGGUUUUUGGCGCUUCUCUUGAGGAAAAAAGCUUUUGGGAGUUACGCCAAAUCCUUUCCCCCUCACUCGACCGGAAUACUCAGGGACAUUAAACACUUUCCCAAGAAUGUCCCUGCACGUAUCCUUGUUGCCCUCUUGAGUUUCAGAACUUUGUUCAAUAGUUUCCUAAAAUACAUGUAACAUUAAAAAGAUAAGUUCAAUAGCAUUUUUAAAAUACAAUAUUAAAAAAUAUUAAAGUGAUAAUAUACUUACACAAAGUUCUACAACUUUCUUGACAUUUUCAUUAUCAACCACUCCUUCUUUGUUAACACGCGCUUCCUUCCAUAAGAUAUGACGACCCAAGGGUUGAUCGGCUUGGGUGUCUUUUCUCUAUUCGUUAAAAUCAUAAACAAAAUAAUACAAAUUAGUUACACACUAUAGUUUAUAAUACAAAUUACAAGUGAUGUUUAAUUACUUACAAUUUUUUGUUCAAGGCGUGCAUAUCCCAUACGUGAUUUCUUGUAUGGGUGUUUUGGGUUGCUUGCCCGUUCGCGAUUUGCCGUACUAAUAUUCUAUAUAAAAAAAAAAUUGCAAUUGUGUAAAAAUUUAAAAUACGCUACGAAUAUGAAUAAUAAAACACAAAUGCUAAUAAAUUAAUAACUUACGACAAACGCCGGGUCAGAACGUUUGGAAACAAAUGCACUCCAUUCAUCCUUUGAUAUAUAAUGUUGAUAUAUCUUUGGAGGUUCAGCAUUUGUGUUUCCUUCUCUAUCUUUUAGAUAGAAAUUUGAGAGAUGGGAUCUAAAUCCACGAUGGAUUUUCCCAGCAACUCUCAAAACAUAUGACUUUCGUUCCUCAUCAAGAACAAAAGUGGUCUGCAAUGAAAACAAUUAUAAGUAAUGUAUUUUACAGAAAAAAAAUUAUAAAUGACAAAAGAGUAGAUCAAAAUAUUUACUUGAAUGUCAUUCCAGAUGAUAUCUUUGGCAUCCUUCAACGCCUUAUCUCUCCAGUUGUCUAUUGUUAUUGGGACAUUUUGACGAACAACAGCCCCAAUGUAGCUUACAAACAUGGAGCUGUUGGGGUCAACUGGCUGACCACUCUCGUUCCAGCCAACCUAAUAAACUCAUAUAGUAAGUACAUGCCCUAAACCCUAAAAAAAGAUAAAAAAACACACAGCAAACAGAGUAUAUAUAGUAUACCUCAAAUUUAAUGCCACUGCUCCGUGCUUUAAUCACCCUUUGCAUGAUAGUUGCACCACGUUUGACUUCUUUUUCGUAAGUCUUAGAGGUGCCAACUUCUUCAUUUUGAACUUCUAAAUCUUUGUUUGUAUCCAUUUAACUACAACAAGUUCAACAUGCACUUUAGUAUAACAUCAACAAGCUCAACAUGGAUCAUGCAUUAUUAUAAACAAACUCAACAUGUAUCAGUAUAUCUUAAAAAAGCUCAACAUGCAUUUUAAUGAUUACAAAAAAUUUAUAACAUCAAUACCUGAAUAAUGGUUCGAAGAAAGAUGAAAUCUAAAGAAAAGAGGGAACGCAGAAAGUUCACAGAAAUAUGGUUCAAAGAAAUAGGAUAUUGAAGAAAUACGUAAUGAGGGUUACGUAUUUCAAUGAAAAUAUAUUGUGUGAAAUGGGAGAGAUGAUCUUGGAUGGAAAUAAGGUUCGAAAUGAAGGAGAUGAUCGUGGAAAUAAGGUUCGUAAAGGACGGGAUGAUAGGGUUUGCAAAAGAAGAGAAGAAAUGAAGGUUGAGAUGACAAUACCUGAAUAAUGAUGGUUCGAAGAAAGACGAAAUGCAAAGAAAAGAGGGUUUGCAGAAAGUUCACAGAAAUAUGGUUCAAAGAAAAGAGGGAACGGUAUUGAAGAAAUACGUAAUGAGGGUUACGUAUUUCAAUGAAAAUAUAUUGUGUGAAAUGGGAGAGAUGAUCUUGGAUGGAAAUAAGGUUCGAAACGAAGGAGAUGAUCGUGGAAAUAAGGUUCGUAAUGGACGGGAUGAUAGGGUUUGCAAAAGAAGAGAAGAAAUGAAGGUUGAGAUGAUAGUGAAAGACCUCCUUGUGUUAUUAUGUUAUUUGAAUACCUUUUACAGCGCUUUUACACAUAAGCGCUCUAAAAUGUCUCUUUAUCUUAAUUUUAAGAGGCUCUUUUACAGCGCUUUUCCCAAAUAAGCGCUGUAAAAGAACUCCGUGUGUUAUUAUGUUAUAUGAAUGUUUUUUAAAGCCUUUUACAGCGCUUUUCCACAUAAGCGCUCUAAAAUGUCUCUUUAUGUUAAUUUUAAAAGGCUCUUUUACAGCGCUUUUUCCAAAUAAGCGCUGUAAAAGGCCUUAUUGUUUUUGUGUUUUGUUAUGUUAUGUUAUUUUUUAAACAAGCUCAACAUGCAUGCAAAACCCACAUAGUAGUAACUGGUCACCACAAAAAUCCCUUCCUCUUCACCAAACUCUUCUCCUUUUAUGCAUCUUCUUCACAAACAUCAAAGCUUACUCUUUCACAAUUCAAUCUCCACCUCAACACCCUUUUUAUCUCUUUACAUUCUCUUUCCUUCUUAAAUCGAAACUUAAUUGGUAUUCAGGAUCAUUGCCAUGUUGCGAAAAAUGGGUUUGUGUCUGGUGUUUUUGGGGAUUCCCAUGAUGCGUACAAGGUGUUUGAAGAAAUGGGUUUGUGUCUGAUGUUUUUUGGAUUCCCAUGAUGCGUACAAGGUGUUUGAAGAAAUGGGUUUGUGUCUGAUGUUUUUUGAAUCCCAUGAUGCGUACAAGGUGUUUGAAGAAAUUAGGUGUCUGAUGAAUAUUAUUUUUAAAGCCAUUUUACAGCGCUUUGGCAAACAAGCGCUGUAAAAUGUCUUUUUUACUCACUUUCAAAAGAGUCGUUUACAGCGCUUUGUGUGAAAAGCGCUGUAAAAGGUAUAAAACACUCAUUAUUUUAUUUUUAAAAGGAUCUUUUACAGCGCUUUUUAAGAUAAGCGCUGUAAAAUGUCUCUUUAUUUUAUUUUUGUGUUUGGUUUAUUUGGGUUGGGAUGACAUUAAAAACAUUUUUAUCAUUGUUUAUUGGAUUAAAAAUAUUGUUAUCAUUGUCUUUAUCACAAUACUUUAGGAGAUGAUGAAUUAUUAGAAAUGAGUAUUCUGAAGAAUCUAUAUAUAUAUAUGCACUGAGCAAAAGAGAAUCUCUCUAUUCAGUUCAGUUCAGUUCAUGUAAAUUACUAAUUUAUAUUCAGUUCAGUUCAUGUAAAUCAAGCUAAAUAUAAAACACUCAUUGUUACAUGAACUUGGUAUAAAACACUCAAAUCAAGCUAAAUAUAAGCAGAAAAUAAAUUAAUCAGAAAAUAAAUUAAUCAGAACUUAGUAUAAAACACUCAAUUCAGAUUACAUGCAUAUUUACAAUAACACAGUUCAGAUUACAUGCAUAGCUUAUAUAAAACAAUUAAACAUAUAUAUACAUUAAGAUGCCCUUCUUCUUUUCCUGGUGACAUUCACAUUUGUUUGUCCAUUUACAAUACGAAACGAUGGAUUAAUCCAAAUUCCCUCAUCAUGAUCAUCUCUAAGAUAUAAACCAUCAUCAGUUGAAUCAAUUUCAUGUGGUUGUUGUGAUGUUGCAAAUAAAAGAUCAUUACCAACAUCUUCAUCAUUAUUGUUAUCAUCACUUAUUUUAUUGGUCGAUAGGACAACAGACCAUUUAUCAUUAGAAGGAUCAGUGACAUAAAACACUUGUUGAGCUUGCGACGCUAAAAUAAAAGGCUCGUCUUUGUAUCCCACCCUAUUAAAAUCGACAAGCAAGAAUCCUGACUCAUCAAUCCGAACGCCAUUAUUAUUAUCGACCCACUUGCAACCAAAUAUGGGAACACGAAACAUUGUGUAGUCUAACUCCCAUAUGCGCUCGAUAACCCCAAAAUAUGAUAGAUUUGCAUAUAUUGGGUUUUUGUCUUUUGCACUUGAGACAUGCAUCGCUUCAGCUACGAGAGUGACUCCACUAUUUUGCAUAGUGGUCUGAUCAUCUUGUUCUUUGGUAUAAAAUGUGUAGCCGUUAAUAACAUAACCAGUGUAAGAAAAGACAUGUAAGCUCGGACCAUUUGCUAGCCACCUCAAUCUAUUUGAAAUUGAUCCGGGGUCUAUAUCAAAUUUUGACAUUAUGUGAUUUUUUAACCAUGUUACAAAACUUCGAUUGUGCUCUCGAGUUAUCCAAUUUUGAUUCCUAUUCAUGUUCAAACGAGAUAACUGAUCAAUGUGUAUUGUAACAUACGGUUGAACCUCAUCAUCAUUGUGCAGAACAUACAAUUGUGCCUGCUCCCAUUCUGUCCUUGAUAUAGUCAGUAGUCUCCUUCCAGUUAUCCCUUCUCCUGAUAGUCUUCCCGAAUGACGAGACAUGGGAAGCCCUAUGGAUUCAACAUUGGACAGAUAUUCAGUACAAAAUUCAGCAGCCUCUUCAACAAUGUAUCGUUCAGCAAUACAACCUUCUGGUCGACUUCUACUUUUUACGUACCCUUUUAAUAUUUUCAUAUAUCGUUCUAUCGGAUACAUCCAUCUCAUAUAAGCUGGCCCACAAAGUUGUGUCUCCUUAACCAGAUGAACAGUAAGGUGAACCAUUAUAUCAAAAAACGAUGGUGGGAAAUACAUUUCAAGCUCACACAAAGUAACAACAAUUUCCCUCUGCAAUGUCGGUAAUUUCUGAGGGUCGAUCACUUUACUACAAAUUUCCCUGAAGAAGAAACAUAAUCUAGUUAAGGCUAGUCGAACUUUUUCAGGUAAAAUGGAACGUAUACCUAUUGGUAGCAAAUGCUCCAUUAUAAUAUGACAAUCAUGGGUCUUCAAACCUUUUAACUUGAGGUCUUUCAUACAAACCAAAUUUUUAAUGUUCGAAGAGUAUCCUUCUGGAACUUUAACUUCGUGUAGAAAUUUACAUAAAACAAUUUUUUCCUUUCUAGAUAGAGUAUGAGCGGCUGGAGGUAGAUAUGUGCGAUUUCCUUUCUUUACUGGAGCCAGUUCAUUUCUUAUUCCCAUAUCGACCAAGUCCAAUCUUGCAUUGACGCCAUCUUUAGACUUUCCUGGAACAUUGAGUAACGUACCAAUAACACUUUCAAAUACAUUUUUUUCAAUAUGCAUCACAUCGAGGAAAUGUCUUACAUACAAUGACUUCCAAUAUGGCAAUUCAAAGAAAAUUGACUUUUUCUUCCACCCAGUUUUCACCAGCUCUCCCGCAAAAGGUUUGCCAAAUUUAUUGGUCAAACCUUGUACUUUUUCAAGUAUUUGAUAUCCAGUCGGUGCUAAAGGAGCUUUACCUUCCUCUGAUUUUCCAUUGAAUGCAUUUCUCCACCCACGAUACUGAUGACUAUAAGGUAAAAAUCUACGAUGUCCAAGAAACACAUUCUUCUUACAAUGUUUCAACCGCAUCCAAUUUGUACUCUCUUCACAUAUAGGACAUGCACACUGACCUUUAAUGCUAUAUCCUGAUAAAUUACCAUAUGCUGGAAAAUCAUUAAUUAUGCCGAACAACAUAACCCUUAAAUUGAAACAUUCUUUCUUAUACCCAUCAUAAACUUCCACACCUGUCUCCCACAUACUUUUUAAAUUUUCGAUUAGAGGAGUCAAGUAUACGUCGAUAUCAUUCCCCGGUUGUUUGGGUCCAGAAAUUAACAGAGACAACAUCAUAAACUUACGCUUCAUACAUAACCAUGGAGGUAGGUUAUAUAUUACCAAAAUCACAGGCCACGUGCUAUGUGAGAUGCUUUGAAGACCAUGUGGAUUCAUUCCAUCAGUAGAAAGUGCAAGUCUUAGAUUUCUUGACUCUAUCCCGAAUUCAGGAUACUCGUGAUCAAUUUUUGCCCAUUGUGGGGAAUCUGCAGGGUGUCGAAACAUUCCAUCUCUAAUUCUUUCAUCUGCAUGCCAUGUCAAGUGUUUUGAAUCUUCUUCACUGCGAUACAUGCGCCUAAAUCUUGGUAUUAUAGGAAAAUACCACACGACUUUUGCUGGAGUAGAUUCUUUCUUCUUAUAUCGAGAGACAUUGCAUUUCGGACACGCCUUAAGUAGUUCAUAUUCGUUUCGAAAUAAAAUGCAAUCGUUAGGACACGCAUGAAUCCUUUCGUAACUCAUUCCAAUAGAACACAAAAUCCGUUUAGCCUCGUAGGUCCGACUGGGAAGUUCAUUAUCAUCUGGCAACAUAUCUUUUAUGAGUGUUAAUAAUUCCGUAAAGCUUUUAUCAGACCAUCCAUUACUCGCUUUUAAGUUGUACAACUUUAAUAUCGCUGACAGUCUUGUGAAUUUAGUACAACCAUUAUAUAAUUCUUUCUCUGCAUCACUCAACAAACUUUCAAACAUUUUAGGACAAUCUCGAAGAUCUUCUUCAACUGCUUUUGCAAUCUCAUCAACUCGGUCCGGCUCAUAUGUAUCUGUAUCGAAAUCAGUUGAAGCAUAUGUAGAACUAUUCUCAAAAUUAAUGUUUCCUUUUUUUUUCUCACCAUGUCUUAUCCAACAUGUGUAGCUUUGAUCAAUUCCAUUACAUACUAGAUGUCCUUCUAAUUCAUCUUCUCUAACACGUUUUCCAAAACAACAUUUUAAACAAGGACAAACUACUCUAUUUGGAUCUUUUGCAUUCUUCACUGCAAACUCAACAAACUCCUUCACUCCAAUUUCAUACUCUUUUGACAAUCGAUUGGCUGAAAUCCAUUUCCUAUCCAUAUUAUACCACCUAUAUAAAUGCAGUAACAAAAAUAAUAAGCUUUCAAAACAUAUCAACAAGUUUCAAAAAGAAACCAAUAUCAACUAACAAUUUCAAAACAGAACAGAUCAUGUGGUAUGAGUUUUUGACAAUUUUUGACAAUUUCAAAACAUAACAGAUCAUGUGUAAAAAAUACCUUAGACAACGUAGAUGGCCGCACAGUACGUAGAGGAUAUUAGGGUUCGCAACGUAUAUAAUUAUUUGAAAGAUGUAGAGGAUAUGAGGGUUUCCAACGUAUAUAAUUAUUUUAAAGAUGUAUUUUACAGCGCUUGUGAAAAACGCGCUGUAAUAGGUAGUUAAAUUCAAUGAAAGCGCAUGUGUUUUACAGCGCUUGUGAAAAACGCGCUGUAAUAGGUAGUUAAAUUCAAUGAAAGCGCAUGUGUUUUACAGCGCUUGUGAAAAACGCGCUGUAAUAGGUAGUUAAAUUCAAUGAAAGCGCAUGUGUUUUACAGCGCUUGUGAAAAAAGCGUUGUAAUAGGUAGUUAAAUUCAAUGUAAGCGCAUGUGUUUUACAGCGCUUGUGAAAAAAGCGUUGUAAUAGGUAGUUAAAUUCAAUGUAAGCGCAUGUGUUUUACAGCGCUUGUGAAAAAAGCGCUGUAAUAGGUAGUUAAAUUCAAUGAAAGCGCAUGUGUUUUACAGCGCUUGUGAAAAAAGCGUUGUAAUAGGUAGUUAAAUUCAAUGAAAGCGCAUGUGUUUUACAGCGCUUGUGAAAAAAGCGCUGUAAUAGGUAGUUAAAUUCAAUGAAAGCGCAUGUAUUUUACAACGCUUGUGAAAAAAGCGAUGUAACUGAUACGCGAAAGCGCUUCCUUUUACAGCGCUUUUUUGACAAGCGCUGUAAAAGCCUUAUAACGUGAUGCGCAAACGUUAUAUGACCUACUACAACGCUUGUUUUACAGCGCUUUGAAUCAAAAGCGCUGUAAUAGGUUCCGUUAUUUUUAAAAUAUAAUUACAACAGCGCUUGUGUUUAGCAAGCACUGUAAAAUGGGCGCUGUUAAAUGUCAUUUUUGGCGUAGUGAAUAUAGCAAAGUGGAAGCAAAAGCAAGACAUCAAAAAAACCUUUAAAUACAUAAAGUUAGGAGAUUGUUUAUAUAACCUUUCGAAAUGGGUCUUAUUAUGUAAACAGGAGGUAGUUCACCUGUUAAUAAGAGAAACAACGUGAUUAAUAGCAAAAGACAAAAAAUUCUUUGGUAGUUUAGAGUGGAAAAUAAGUGAUCUAGUCACAUUAAGAAGAUGAGGAUGUUUCCUUUCAACAAUUAAGUUUUCUUGGGGUGUAUCAACACAAGAGGUUUGAUGCAAUAUGCUCAAACUAGAAUAAAAAAGAGGCAUAUUGAAUUCAAGACCAUUAUCAUUGCUGAUUUUCUAGACUUUUGUAUUGAAUUGUAUUUUAACAAAGGAAACAAAGUUUUGAAGGAGCAUAUGAGUUUCAGAUUUAGCAUUCAUUAAAAAUAACCAAGAAAAUCAUGAAUAAUCGUCAACAAUAGUUGGAUAAUAUUGAUGACCAUCAAAAGAAGGAACAUUAAUAGGUCCUCAAAUAUCAACAUGUAUAAGGCUAAAAAUAUGUAAAGAAACAUUUUCACUACGCGGAAAAGGGAUUUUAGCAUUUUAUGCCCAAAUAAAAAGAGUCACAAAUCAUAUUUUUAUUAACUGAAAUGUAAUAAAAUCGUUUACACAUUUGUUGUAACAGGGUUAUUGAUGGAUGACCUAACCUAAAAUGUCAAACAUCAAAUUUAUUUGGUAUAGUGGCAUUAACAAAGGUAGUAUAAUGGUGAUUAGAAACAGGAGCAAAUUCAGUAGAAAAAACCAUAGCAGAGAUAUAAUAUGAUCAAGAAUAUAAAGGCUAUUACAAUGCUCCACAUGUCCUAUCGUCUUAUGGGUAUGCAAAUCCUGAAUUGUAUAAAAAUUCUUAGAAAAUAAUAGUUUGUAAUCCAAAUCAAGAGUGAGUUUUGAAAUAGAUAUUAAACUAAAAUUGAAUUGAUGAAUAAACAACCUAUUUUUCAAGUAAAGAUCAGAAGUAAAGUAAAAAUGUCCUAAAAAAUGCGUAAGAAUAUACGACCCAUUUGGAAAAAUAAUAAAAAUUGGUUCAAUUUGUUUCAUUGAAUAAAAACAUUUGAUAAAUGGACAAACAUGAUCUGAAGCCCCCGAAUCCAUAAUCCAUAGAGAAAAAGGAUUAGAUACGAAACCUGUAUUAGAAAUACUUGAUACUACGUGAUUGGAUUAAUCUGAAAUAGAAUUCUUGGUUUCGAAAGAAGUUACAUCAACAUAUUUAGAAUUAUGUAGCAGAUUAAUCAAAAUAUUAUAAUAUGUUUUGCUAAGAUGAUUGUUGAUUGUUGGAAUCGUGUUGCUGUGUAGGCUAGGAGAGAGAAGGAUUCUUAGAACCAUUUAUUGAAGACGAAUUCAAAGAUUGUUAUUUACGAUAUCAUAGUGGAAAGCCAUGUUUGAAAUAACAUGUGUCUACAAUGUGAUUAUUCUUAUGACAUCGAGUAUAAAACAUGGAGGGCCGAGGCUGACCACGACGAUGAUGGUAUUGCCUGCGACCUUGACCUGAAUUUUUGGAAGUAUUGAUAUUAAAAACAACAUAAGUAUCAGGAGGAUUAUGGUUUGAAUUGGGGACAAGGUCUUAUUGAAAAACGAAAGAAUGCACCUUGUUAAUAUAAGGUAAAGGAUCCAUGAAUAAAAUCUGUGUGUGAAUGUUAUUGUAAUUUUUAUUCAAACCUUUAAGAAAACAAGUGAUAUACUCUUGAUGCUUGAAAUAAUGAACUGUUGUGUUGAGCUUGCAAGAACGAGGAAUAGGGCAUAUGCAUGAUUGUGUUGGGCACAAAUCCUCCAAUUCACCCCAAAGAAUCUUCACAUUGGUGAAAUAGGUAGACAAAGAAUGUUCACCUUGUUUGAUUGAAUGAAGAUCACGAAUUAGAUUGGAAAAUCGAAAAUUAUUUCCUUGAAUGAAACGAUCACGAAGAUCAUACCAUAACUCUAAUGCUGAAUCAAUGCAAAUGGAGAACGUUAAAAACUCAAUAUUGAUUUUGAUUGUGAAAACGGAGAACAUCCUUGGUUCUGGAAACAGAAAAUGGAGAACAUUCUAGGUUAAUUAAAAUCAAUAGUUUAGUUUAUAUGUUUAACUUGAUAAACAAAAGGAUUGAAAGUAAAUAGAGAUAAGAAGAUAGAUGUCACAUAAUGAUAUAUCUUAGUUCACCUAACUCAGGCUAUGUUCAGUGUAACACCCCGUUUUUCAAAGCGAGGGUAUUUUUUUUUUUUAAAAGUAAUUAAAAACGAACGAAGAAAUAAAUCAGGAAAUGCUUUUGGAUAAAUAAUUGAGUCAUUAUAAUUUACGCAGCGGAAAAGUUUCUCCAAUUAUAAAUCCAAAACAUUUUUACAUAAACAUCAAAUGGUACAUGGAACCCAUUCAAAGAUGAUAUCAAACUGAUAAUAUUUAUAUAAGUACAGUUUUCCAAAACUAAAAUACUCCAAACCAAAGAGAAGGACCCCUAGUCCCUAUACAUCAUCCUAAUCUGAUCAUCCUACCAAAAACUAUACACCCUGAGUAAUCUCCACGCGCCCCGUGAGAUCCUCCUAACACAACCGCAGUCAAGCAUUCCCAUCUCCAUCCCUGUCCGUAGGGUACGAACCAGUAGGGCCGUCCUGACUCUCAUCUGAGGGCAAAGCCCAGAUUUCCACAAUAGUGUAAAGGGUCACCAACCAGAAAAUAACAGAUAACACAUAGCAAUUAAGUUUUUGAAUGCUCAAAACAACUUUUCAACUAAGCAUGCACCUUAACAGGAUUUUCAAUGUGCGAAAAGUUCAUACAUUACAUUGCCAAUGAAAAUGAAGGUAAAAUGCAGUUCUCGAUCUCCUAAUUAACACAUGAUAAAACAAGACAUGGAUAGAUUCAUGAGCAAUAAAUCAUACAACUAAAACUGAGGAUUUUCACUGAGCCAAUCGAUUGGGCAAUCGAUUGGGGUGAAGAUUUUUAAUGAAAACAGAAUCCUGGGCUGAAUUCAAUCGAUUGGUAAAUCGAUUGAUUGGUUCCCACAACUUAACACUUAGCAAUUCCUACGCGAUUACUACGACACACGAAGGUUCGAUAACCAUCAUACUCACACACAAUACACAACACAUAGCACUUAACACCUUCAUCUCAGUUAUCACGAUAAAUCAAAAUUCGAAUCACUCAAUCAUAAACUCAAAUCAAACAUGACUCGCGUGCCAGGCACCCUAAUGCAAUGCGUAUAUGCCAAAAUGCAUGGACUCGGAAUUCCAAACCAAAACCCUCCUCGAAGGGCCGUAAAUCAUAAUUGUACCGCCUAUCGCAGGCCAAAGUACCAAUUACCGAGGUGCCACCUAUCACGGGUCAGCACGAUUUACUAAAAUGCGUAAAUCAUAAACGUACCACCUAUCACGGGUCAGUACAGUUACCAUGGUGUCACCUAUCACGGGUCAACUCGAUUUUCUAAAUAGUAACUCGUAAACGUACCACCUAUCACGGGUCAGUACAGUUUACCGAGGUGUCACCUAUCACGGGUCAACACGAUUUACUAAAAGAAAAAGCGGGAAUCGUAAACGUACCGCCUAUCACAGACCAGUACUGUUUACCUAGGUGCCACCUAUCACGGGUCAGCACAAUUCACCAAAAAUGUAAAUCGUAAAUGUACCACCUAUCACGGGUCAGUACAGUUACCAUGGUGUCACCUAUCACGGGUCAACACGAUUUACUAAAAGAAAAAGCGGGAAUCGUAAACGUACCGCCUAUCACAGACCAGUACUGUUUACCUAGGUGCCACCUAUCACGGGUCAGCACAAUUCACCAAAAAUGUAAAUCGUAAAUGUACCACCUAUCACGGGUCAGUACAGUUACCAUGGUGUCACCUAUCACGGGUCAACACGAUUUACUAAAAUGUAAAUCGCAAACGUACAACCUAUCACGGGUCCGUACAGUUUACCAAGGUGUCACCUAUCACGGGUCGACACAAUUUACCAAAUGAAAUGCAUGAGCAUACACAGACUCCAUUCACAACAAUCGUUAAGCAAAUGCAGAUAUUAAAAGAUUCCCCAUUUUUAAUACCCAUUUAACUUAAACGACUUUCAAACAACAUUAAUUAAAUAAGUCAUUAAGAGAUUCCCCGUUCUUAAUACCGAUUUAACUUAAUGAUUUUCAAAACAAAACGUUAAGCAAACAGUCAUAUUAAGAGAUUCCCCAUUCUUAAUACUCAUUUACCGAAACGAUUUUCAAAAACGAUAGUUAAGUAACCGAGACAUUAAGAGAUUCCCCAUUCUCAACGCCCAGUUAACUUAAACAUUUUCCUCAAAUACACAUUAAGUAAACCGAGGUAUUAAAAGAUUCCCCAUUUUUAAUACUCGUUUAACUCUAAUGGUUUUCAAAUUCCACAGAAACAAAUUCAAACAUACUUUCACAUUCAAACCAUAAUUCACAACAACCACACCAAUUAACAAACAUCAAGUACGAACACACCAAAUACAACGAACACAAAUCACGCAACAUAACACCCAGAUACAUCAAAUUUCAUUUACCCAUAAUCAUACACAAUGACAUUCAAAUUCAUUUACCACGAAACAUUCAUCACUAUAAACAAAACCUAACUCUAAGGUUUUUACCCAUAACGCACUAGUUUCGUUUUUCCCCAAAUCGAUACAUUUAACCCUAACAAAUUCCUUCCCACACAACUACAGAUAAGUCCCUAAUGCAAGCUAGAAGUUUGGAAGGAGCCCUUACCUCAACGUUAGCUUUAUCGUGCGUUUCCGGUACCGCGAGAAAUUCCGGUAAAAUCUCCGCUCGCAACGCCGCUUCCAAAUUAGUUCACUAGCACCGUAGCGUGGUGGUGAGCAACUUUCCCUUCUAUCUCUUCGAGAAAUGAGGUUUGGAUCUAGGAGAAACGGAGGGGUUUGUGUUUGGAUCUCAAAACCGUUUUUCUUCGUUUUCGAAUCAAAGAGGAAGAGUGGAGUUGCGAAAACCUUGAUCUAACUCACACCCGACCUUGGGUCACUAGCUUUGAAGAAAAGGAAGCAACGAAAACGAAAAAUGGAGAAGGAUGGAUUUUUGGUUUUUCACGUGAGAUGUUCAGAGGAAGGAGAUGGAAUUCGAGAUUUUCCUUCCUUUCUAUUUCUUUCCUUUGUUUUUCCUUUCUUCCUUUUUCCUUCCUUCCUUUAUAUACUAUUUUCUUUUCCUUUUCCUUCCUUCUAGUUUUCCUUUCUUUUUCCCCCCAAACAAACAUAUAUAAAUAUAAUAAAUAUAACUUAACAAAUAUCUCAAAAUCUAGAUAUUUAUUAAAUUACCGUUUCACCCGAAACGCCUUAAAUUCUUCGUAAAGGAUUUUCCGCAGUUAAAUUCAAUUUAUUUAUCGACGAGAAAUUCUAAUUGGCAUCGAAAUAUCUUUUUGAUUAGAAAACUCCAAAAUAUUAUUAACUUUGGCUUAAAAGCCUCCGAGCCAAAAUCCAAAAUAUACCAAAAAUACAUAAAAGGGUACUUUAAAAUUAUGGGUCUUACAUUCAGUCCUUACAAUUGUGAUAUUUUCCACAAAGCGUUCAAAUGGAGAAAAUUCUUGGUUUUACACAGUUUUGUUCAGAUUAACCUUGAUAUGUAACAACAAUUCAUUUCCACUUAGAAAUGAUUCAAUUAGGUCACUUAUCAAUCUUUAGAGAGGAUUUUACAAUUCACCUUUUAUCCAUAAAAAUGAUUUUCUACAAACUAUAAACAACUAUUAUAGUCUUGAGUUUACAAUAAUGAUUUAAAGAGAUUGGUAGAAUCUGAGUAUGUUCAAAUCGUGUUUGAGAAUACAUUCUUGAUAAAAGAAAUACAUAUAACGGUUCUGAUAUUUUAAAAAGAAAACAUAAUUGAAUCUUUUGUUUAUGAUUGAGAAGUUUUCAAGUAUAUAAGUGUAUGUAAGUGAUGGAUUUCUUAACACUUGAAGUUCUAUUUUUCCUUGAACUUGAGGUUCUUUUUAUAGGCUUCAAGGAGGAUGAUGACAACUACUUUGAUCUUUGGAAAAUAUCCAGCUGUCAUGUGUCAAAUUUGACAAAAUUCGAUAACUUUUAAACCAUGAAUGUUUCUUGACUAGCUUCUCAUUCUUGACCGUGAUUUAUGGUCCUUUAUGCUCAUAGACAUCUCAAAGAUGUGUUCAAUGUAUUCAGAUCGAGAAUGUCUUUGAUUCGAUCAAAACAAGCUAGAGAAGGAUGUACACAUGUUGGAGAUUGAUUGUAAAUAUGCUGGAAAAUGAUGUUAUUUGUAACAUCCCGCUUUUUCGAGACAUUAACUUACAAAAUUCUAAAUGUAAAAAUACAAAUUCAUUUUUAUUUAUUUAUGAUUAUCUUAAAUACCCAUUUACCUUAAUAUCAAUUAAUAAUAUUUUUAGUUAUAUUUUCAAAAAUAAUGAAUCAAAGUAUUUACAAUCACUAAAAGUAAAUUUAAUACGUUAAACAAAAGAAACUCAUAGAGCCAAAACUAUUGAUGUUUUACUACUCAAACAUAAAUCCUAGUUGGUAAUAAACUUUGGAGUUGUGGAAAACUCACCCAAUAAAUCUAACACCCCACAAAAGUACCUCAAAACCUCCAACUAUAUACUUCCUCGCAUUUCUCCUAUUAGGUUGACUAUAAGCUCAAGUAACACUAUAUGUGACGUCGUGUCAAAUGUAAGGGUCAUCUCUAAAAUAUUUUACCAAUAAAUAAAUAACAAUCAAAAUAAAACAGUACAUUACCUACUCAGCCAACAAAAAGGUACAAUAACAAUGAAAAUAUAACAGUACAAUGUUUACAUAAUUAAUAACAUUAAUUCACUCAAACGACCACCUACAGUGACGAUACGAAUAUAACAUUACGAUAUCUACAUAAUUAAUAACAUUAAUUCAUUCAUCCAAACGACUACGAGGUACAAUAACAAUAAAAAUAUAACAGUACGGUUAUAUUUUAUAAAAAUGAAGUGAUUAAUUUUAUAAAAAUGUCAUAGAUAAAUUAUUAGGAGUGCAACAAGACAAUCAAUAUCACCAAAUGAAUGUGUUAUUAUUUUAAUUUUCAAUGAAAAAUUAAUUGUUGUUUUUUAAGUUUAUUUUUUAAUUAAUAUAAUAUACCUUAUUCUUAAGUUACAAUGAGAAAAUAAUGUUACAAUGAGAAAAUAAUAUCUAAUGGUUGGGUGAUGAGUACUAAAUGACAAAAACUAAUUUUUUUGCCUAAAACAAACAUGACAAUUUUAGUGAUAAAAAUUAAUGUAGCGAGUUGAACAAAAUAAUAUGACAUGUAACAUUGUAAUCAAAAGGCAAGUUUAAGUGAAAGAUGGUUCAUCAUAUAUAAGUAGACCAUACUUUAUUUAACAUAGUAAGUGGGAAACAAAACAAUUCAUAGAUGCAUGUUUCUAGUUUUCAUGGAGAUUCCAUGUUUCCAUGUCCUCUUUUCCUACCUUUGUCUCCGUUAUCGGGGUUUCCUCGAUUGUCGUCUUCUUCAACGGGUGGCUCACUAUUGCCGUAUCCCAUGCCACCGCCACCAUAGUUGUAUGCCAUGCCCUGUACCCAUUCUGAUGCCCAACCCAAUGCCAAAUCUCUCAAAGUUCUCCAAUCUACAAACCUUCUUAUUAAAGUACUAUAUUCGGUUUCCUCAGCUGUCACAAUAGUCAUAAGAAGGGGAACACACAGAAAGAAUACUAAGAUAAAAAAUUUUGUUUUCAUCCUUGCUUAAAUUUCCUAAAGUUUGUUGUAAAAUAUGAAUAAUAUCCUCAAAUAUUUAUAGUGGUCACGCAUAGAAAAAAUAAGAUAAUUUUAAAAGACA
rnacentral:lncRNA from 1 species